rnacentral:rRNA from 1 species
AUACGGAGGGUCCAAGCGUUAUCCGGAUUCAUUGGGUUUAAAGGGUGCGCAGGCGGGCUUGUAAGUCAGUGGUGAAAUACUGCCGCUUGACGGUAGAACUGCCAUUGAUACUGCAAGUCUUGAAUAUGGUUGAGGUAGGCGGAAUGUGUUGUGUAGCGGUGAAAUGCAUAGAUAUGACACAGAACGCCAAUUGCGAAGGCAGCUUACUAAGCCAUUAUUGACGCUGAGGCACGAAAGCGUGGGGAGCGAACAGGAUUAGAAACCCGAGUAGUCC